rnacentral:rRNA from 1 species
GACAGAGGGUGCAAACGUUGCGCGGAAUUACUGGGCGUAAAGCGCGUGUAGGCGGGCCGGUAAGUCGGGCGUGAAAUCCCUGGGCUCAACCCAGGAACUGCACUCGAAACUUCCGGUCUAGAGUGGUGGAGAGGGAAGUGGAAUUCCUGGUGUAGAGGUGAAAUUCGUAGAUAUCAGGAGGAACACCAGUGGCGAAGGCGGCUUCCUGGACACCAACUGACGCUGAGACGCGAAAGCGUGGGGAGCAAACAGG